rnacentral:rRNA from 1 species
AUUGAACGCUGGCGGCAGGCCUAACACAUGCAAGUCGAACGAGUGGCGGACGGGUGAGUAAUGUCUGGGAAACUGCCUGAUGGAGGGGGAUAACUACUGGAAACGGUAGCUAAUACCGCAUACCAUCGGAUGUGCCCAGAUGGGAUUAGUUAGUGGGUGGGGUAACGGCUCACCUAGGCGACGAUCCCUAGAUGGGCGGAGAGGAUGACCAGCCACACUGGAACUGAGACACGGUCCAGACUACUACGGGAGGCAGCAGUGGGGAAUAUUGCACAAUGGGCGCAAGCCUGAUGCAGCCAUGCCGCGUGUCUGAAGAAGGCAUGCGGGUUGUAAAGUACUUUCAGUGGGGAGGCGUUACCCGCAGAAGAAGCACCGGCUAACUCCGUGCCAGCAGCCGCGGUAAUAC